rnacentral:rRNA from 1 species
CAAAGGAGCAAUCCGCUGAAAGAUGGGCUCGCGUCCGAUUAGGUAGUUGGUGAGGUAACGGCCCACCAAGCCGACGAUCGGUAGCCGGACUGAGAGGUUGGACGGCCACAUUGGGACUGAGACACGGCCCAGACUCCUACGGGAGGCAGCAGUAAGGGAUAUUGGUCAAUGGGGGAAACCCUGAACCAGCAACGCCGCGUGAGGGAAGACGGUUUUCGGAUUGUAAACCUCUGUCCUCUGUGAAGAUGAUGACGGUAGCAGAGGAGGAAGCUCCGGCUAACUACGUGCCAGCAGCCGCGGUAAUACGUAGGGAGCGAGCGUUGUCCGGAUUUACUGGGUGUAAAGGGUGCGUAGGCGGCUGUGCAAGUCAGUAGUGAAAUCCAUGGGCUUAACCCAUGAACUGCUAUUGAAACUGCACAGCUUGAGUGAAGUAGAGGUAGGCGGAAUUCCCGGUGUAGCGGUGAAAUGCGUAGAGAUCGGGAGGAACACCAGUGGCGAAGGCGGCCUACUGGGCUUUAACUGACGCUGAGGCACGAAAGCGUGGGUAGCAAACAGGAUUAGAUACCCUGGUAGUCCACGCUGUAAACGAUGAUUACUAGGUGUGGGGGGACUGAGCCCUUCC